UGCCUCCUAAACUCUGGGAUUAAAGGUGUGCGCCACCACUGCCUGGCUGGGGAUUUUGUGGCUGUCAAAGGACUUUAUGCAACUCCAGAGGGGAGGCCAGGCCUUCGCCGGGAAGCUGCUUCUUCUCAGGGCAUCUUAUCACAGUACCAGAAAUGAAACCAGGCCCGGUGGUGACCAAAGCUGCUGCAGCCAUUCUCCUGUGGUCUGGAGAUGGCCUUCCCCGGGAGUGGCUCGCCAUCUAGACCAGUGCUUCUCACCCUUCCUGAUGCUGAGACCCGUUAACACAGCUCCUCUUGGUGUGGUGACUCCCAACCAUUAAAUGAUUUUGUUGCUACUUCA